rnacentral:lncRNA from 1 species
GUUGUUUUUUCUCACUUGAAAUCCUGUUAUUCAUUCUAUGAUCCAUACCUUUCUUUCUGUAUAAACAGAAUAUUAAUCGGUCCUUCCAUGGGGAUUUUUUCUAAACAUGCUUUUCAGCUAUUCUCUAUAUGAAUAUCAGAAAGCGAACAUACAGUGGAAUAAGAUUCCCUCAGACUUUUGCAGAUUGAUUUCUCUGAGUUGUAUGUUCUCCAUACAUUGAUCUUUCUGUGCUCUUUCAUUGCUGCCUUCCAUUUGAGCAAUUCCUGUAAGCCCUGAGGAGCAGACCUGCAGGGGCUGACCUUGAUAUUUCUAACCACACUUGGAGAUGAGUGUCUGACGCACAGAUCACUGCUUCCAAGAGGGUAUGGGCAGCUGGCAAAGAGAACUCAAUAACACAAUUUACUCUGCUGAUUUUAUUGAGUAUUGUGGUCUCUGUUCUGGAGUAGUUCCUUCAGAGGUCUGCAAUGGAGGUUUUCCAGUCUCCCUGGCACAAG